GAGGGAUUAGUUGACCUGUCUUAAUGGAAGCAUUUUGUAAUAUAAAUUUUCCCAAGUUCUGCUUUGGCUGCAACCUACAAAAUCUGGUUUUGUUUUUCAGAUGCUUCUCUCAAAGGCAAGAAUCUCUGAAUAAUGUGAAAUGGGUGAAUCUAAAAGAAAUAGAAAUGUAUUAGCUAUGAACAAAGGAUUUCAGAAACAGCA